CAGCAGCCGCGGGAAUACGGAGGGAGCUAGCGUUGUUCGGAAUUACUGGGCGUAAAGCGCGCGUAGGCGGUUAUUUAAGUCAGGGGUGAAAGCCCGGUGCUCAACACCGGAACAGCCCUUGAGACUGGAUAACUUGAAUCCAGGAGAGGUGAGUGGAAUUCCGAGUGUAGAGGUGAAAUUCGUAGAUAUUCGGAAGAACACCAGUGGCGAAGGCGGCUCACUGGACUGGUAUUGACGCUGAGGUGCGAAAGCGUGGGGAGCAAACGGGAUUAGAUACCCCAGUAGUCCCUGUCUCUUAUAC
rnacentral:rRNA from 1 species